rnacentral:rRNA from 1 species
GACGAACGCUGGCGGCGUGCUUAACACAUGCAAGUCGAACGGAAAGGCCCUGCUUUUGUGGGGUGCUCGAGUGGCGAACGGGUGAGUAACACGUGAGUAACCUGCCCUUGACUUUGGGAUAACUUCAGGAAACUGGGGCUAAUACCGGAUAGGAGCUCCUGCUGCAGGGUGGGGGUUGGAAAGUUUCGGCGGUUGGGGAUGGACUCGCGGCUUAUCAGCUUGUUGGUGGGGUAGUGGCUUACCAAGGCUUUGACGGGUAGCCGGCCUGAGAGGGUGACCGGCCACCUUGGGCCUGCGGUACGGCCCAGACUCCUACGGUAGGCAGCAGUGGGGAAUAUUGCACAAUGGGCGGAAGCCUGAUGCAGCAACGCCGCGUGCGGGAUGACGGCCUUCGGGUUGUAAACCGCUUUCGCCUGUGACGAAGCGUGAGUGACGGUAAUGGGUAAAGAAGCACCGGCUAACUACGUG